UUGGGCAGUGUUCUGAGUGUAGAAGAAUGACAUUUUCAUUAAAACACAGAUUACGGAGAGUACAUUUUAUUCCCUCCGGAACUUCUGCCAGUCCGUUGCACUUGUGUCCAGUGGCAACAACCUUUCUAAUUAGUUUAUUUAACUUUGACCACAAUGUUUACUUUAAAUUGGGGGAAAGUGAAUUGUUUUAGGGGGAGAGGGAAAAAAAAACACUUUGGUUGAAUCAAAGCAGCAUGUGUAAGGUGCGUAAAUGGUGACCUCGUGACCUUAGAGACCUGUUUUGCUGCAAACUACACCAAAGCUGUCAAAUCUUGAAACAGCUACUGAUAUGCAAAAGAUCUUCGAUCAAACAAAUAUAACUUCUACAAGCCUCUGUGACUUACCAAAUGUCCUGAUCUUAUUUUCAUUAAUCAAUAUGCAUGAUAGCUUGGGAAAAUCGCCUUAAAAUGAGGGAGAAGUAAAGAUAGUGUUAAACUUAUUUAGAGAGAGCUUACUUUCAGCUGAGCAGGCAGUUCCCAAACUAAAGGGAAAACCCUGAAAGAAAACACACUGCUGGGGGAGGAAGAAAAGCAAAGAAAGACGCCAAGAAUGACUUUUAAACAAAUAUUUAAUCUCCCUUUCCUGCGAGUUAGGUCCAGACAUAGCGGAGUAAUCUACGUUUCGAACGAGUGACACGUCAAUUUAAGCUAAUAUUCCUCCGACACUGUACCAACAACUAUACAUUUAGCCUCAGGACACUUUUUACGGUUAAGCUUGUUUAAACUCCCAGUUUAAGGUGGUUUUUUUUAAAAAAUCCCUCAAAGCCUUUAAAAUAAAGCUACCUUCAUUAUUUGGACAUUAUCAUGAGCGAACGUAAAGUCUGAAAGGAAGGUGAAUGGCUUCGCUCACUGACAGAGAUGCGAAGAAUGCUCGGAAUGAGAAGAGGAAUGAAAUGAACGCAAAGAGCGAGUUUGCGUCGGGGGGCGGAGCGAGAGGUGGCGUCAUCCCGGAGCCCCGCAGCCUCCCUCGGCCGUGCCUUGACAUCCCGGGAACUGUCACCUUCACGGACGCGCAGAAAGUUCGAUUUCCCAGCUUCGCGGCGGUCACGCUCACUCCCUUUCGAAUUUUGCCCAUACAAUUUAGGCGAACGUUGACCCGUUGACACGGCCUGUGGCGGUCCUCGCUUUAAUUGGAACCCCGCGCUACACACCACUGUUGCGCCCCAAGUCCCGGUCCCCACCACCACGCCGAUGAAAACACUAGCGUGGAACUUCUAUAUAUUUUUAAAUGUAUGGAAUUAUAAAUAAAAAAGAACACAGCAAAAAAAAAAAUUAAAAUUAAGGAAACAAGCAUACAAUUUUGGCUUGUACUGUAUCACUUAUUUAAUCAUAAAAAAAAUCAUAAAAUCAGAAUCAUAAAAAUCAGGAUUGUCAAGCAGGUUGCCACAAAGAGAGGAAGUAGGCGAUAAAAGAAAAAGUGUGGAUGUUUUGAGAGGCUGCCAUUCACUAACUGUACCUGGAAUGCUACGUACAUCGCUUGCAUGCAUUUUGGCAACAAGCUUUAUGAUUUCAUCCACAGGUACAUAUGAAAUUUUAAAUACAGUUAAGCAUUGUUGUGAAACAAUAUAUGUCCAGUAUACUUGAUACACUGCUUUUGUAUGGCUUGGCAACAGCCGGCUAAGUGCGACCAGUUUAAAACCAAGUUUAAAACCACUGAAAUUUGAAACACCGCACAACCAGUGCAAAAACUUUGCACACUGCACGAAAGUUCAGUGGGGAUUCGGCCGCAUCGCUUGGUGUGCAGUGGGCCCAAGGAAACCUGAAAGCAAUAAUUUGGGUUUUGUUUCCCAGUGUGCUUGCUCUCUUUUAUGUUAAAAGAGGGAGUUUGCAUUUUUUUUUUUAAAUUGUCACAUUUGUCACAAACUUUCAGUAUGACCUGACAGUAGUACAUCAGAAUCAGCUUUAUUGGCCAAGUAUGUUACAAGAAACAUAAGCCAUUUGUCUCCAGUAGUUGGAGCCACUUUAGUAUGACAACAAACAGCCACUAUGACAAAAUAUACAUUGAGGACAUAGAAAACACAUGAGUGUGGAGAGUCAUCGAGCAAUAAGCAUAAGUAAAACCAUCUGUGAAAAAAAUGGCCCACUCUGGCCCCAUCUUGUACCUUCUUAUUUGAGUUUAAAGAAACCACCACGCCUGAUGGAAAAAAAAAACAACAAAUUAGGGACGGAAGGCGGGGGUGACAAGGUGUCAAUCACUUGUCGUGCACUAGCGUGUAAAUUCAUAGCAGAGAGACCCGCUGCGGCCUCGCACUCGCCUGUUACCAUGUCCUUCAGGGGCUCGGCUGAGACUGCGGCAGAAUACUCACCUCUGGAAAGUAAUUGUUAAAAAAAUGGCCAUCCCUCGUUUGCAAACAACUGGGCAUAAGAAUAUCAAACAGAAGCAUUCAAAGCUAAAAAUAAAGAACUGGACAGAUCCCAGGAUGAACCAAGGAUGAAUACUGGAGUUGCCUUUCAGAGGUGGAGGGACCGCAGGCAGCCGAGAGAUUCCGAAGCAACACGGAAUUAGCAACAUUUCUGCUUGACGGGUGAGUUUAUGCCAUGCCUCUAACCAUUUUUUCGUGUUAUUGCUUUGUUAGCAGCCAAAUUGCAUUGUAAGAUAAAAGCCGAUUACAUAUUUUGCAGCAAAACGUCAAUAUUUCAUAUUUGAAAUAUCUUCUGCGUCAGUCUAUAAAUGAACACAAAGCAUUUCAGUGGAUUCACGUGAGUGUGCCUACACAGCCAAAUACACAACUGUGGUCCUGUCUGAACAAGUCAUCCAUUAGAGUGAGCCUGUGUUUUGACACAGGUCUCUCAAAAGAAAACCAUCAAGGAAGAUGAACGACUGGCGCUCUGAAGACAUCAAUCGACACCUUUUAACGCCUGUCUGUGCAAGUUUGGCCCAAAGAGUGGAAGGUAGGGUGUCGAACUGCCCAUCAUUCUCGUCUGUCAAUACAUUUUUUUGUUCAGUUUUACUCAACCAUCACACUUUGAACUCCAUCAUUUGUUAAACGUACGUUACGUGAUCGUGUUGAUUGGCUGGUAUCAGGUUCGCCUGCACCAUCAAAUGAGAUCCAGUGAGAAAGCUUGAACAAAAAUUCUGCCAGUUCCUUAAUUUUGAUUGACACUGUCAGGUAGGUGUUCACUUAAAAAUAUUGUUAUUAUAGUGGAUAUAGUUUGCGGUAGAACUGCUUGCAACAUGUCAUCUAAUCUAACACACGCAUUAAAACAUUUUUCUAGUCUUGUGGAAACAAGCCAAUUAAGCCUUAAAUUAUUAAUAUUAUGUUGAGUUGAAGUCAUUAUGUAUUUGUUGACUUUACAUCAUAUACAAGAAAGUGUCAGAAAAAGUAUUGUAAGAAGACCUCCAACCUGUAGAAUUCAUUUAAUUUUUUUAAACUGUUUGAGAGGGGGAGUAAAAAAAAAUAAUAAUAAUAAUAAACUACUAACAUGCUUCA